CUCCAGAAACAUAAUUAUCGGGAGUUUUUCCUUUUUGUUUAAGCCCUCGUAUCAUUGUAAUUCACUGGUCACUUAAAGCCUUCUCUGGCUUUCUGCAAGACUUUUUUAUAUUACCCAAUCGCCGGCGUCGGUGCCAUCGACGCCGGAAAUAAAGACUAUGCAAGUCAGGCCAAGUCGACUAGCGGAGCUUCAUUAGUAAAUCUUUAGAGAGCUGAAAUUUGCGAAGGAUGGGGAAGCGAGUGCUUCAAAAUCCUCUUCUACAAAAAAGGGGAAGAAAGCUGCGAAAGAAGGUUUUAGUGAGCCGUUUAUACGGGAAACCAGUUCCGCUAGAAGAAGCGCGGGAACGGUGGCCAGAGAGAUACGACAAUAAGAAAACAGAGAAGAAGAACGGUCGGUCUGGAAGCUCUAAAAAGUAGUUCUAUAUUGUGUUUUUUUACUCGAUACUCGAGACGACAGUGAUGAGGAGGUACUACUUGCCCGCUGCCAUUACACACAAGCAGAGGUCGACGGCUGCAUUUUCAAUCUGAAUGAUUAUGCUUGUGUUAAAGUGAGGUUUUGUUUCUUGUACCUUUUCGUUUGCGAAGAUAUAGACAAUGCCGAGGCUUAUUUAAUAUGUGAGGGAUUCAAAACACAGGCAAAUUUGAUGAAUACAACAGAAAAAAUUCCGGUGUUUGGGCCUGAAAUUCAUGGCAUUAUAUGUUUAGCGAGGAAAAAUGAUACGCACUAAUCUUUCAAUUUAUUUAAUACUGUGUUUUCAGGGGGAACCCGGGAAACCUAAUUACAUAGGGAAGAUCGUUGAACUGUUUGAGACCACUGAUGGAGAGCCAUAUUUUACGGCUCAGUGGUUUUUCAAAGCUGAAGACACGGUAAAUUGAAUAAUAUUCAUUAUGCUGUACUGUAUCUGCUCUGUUGCGUCAGUGACAAUCCCGUGAUCUCUUGGAUGAUUUUAGGUCAUUGGAGAUGGCCAGUCUGCAUAAAGGGGGGUG